rfam:Lactobacillus manihotivorans DSM 13343 = JCM 12514 strain DSM 13343 NODE_416, whole genome shotgun sequence.
UCCGGAUUAGCUCAGUGGUAGAGCACCUGACUGUUAAUCAGGGUGUCGUCAGUUCGAGCCUGACAUCCGGAG